rnacentral:rRNA from 1 species
GACGAAGGAUCCAAGCGUUGUCCGGAUUUACUGGGUUUAAAGGGUGCGUAGGCGGAAAAUUAAGUCAGUGGUGAAAUCCCGUAGCUCAACUACGGAACUGCCAAUGAAACUGAUUUUCUUGAAUAUGGUUGAGGUAGAUGGAAUAUAACAUGUAGCGGUGAAAUGCUUAGAUAUGUUAUAGAACACCAAUUGCGAAGGCAGUCUACUAAGUCAUUAUUGACGCUGAGGCACGAAAGCGUGGGGAGCGAACAGGAUUAGAUACCCUGGUAGUCCACGCCGUAAACGUUGAUUACUCGCUGUUGGCAAUACACUGUCAGCGGCUAAGCGAAAGCGUUAAGUAAUCCACCUGGGAAGUACGACCGCAAGGUUG